rnacentral:sRNA from 1 species
AAAAUCUCACUGUUAUAGAUGUGGACUGAUUUAGGUAUUGACUGUUUAUAGAAAAUGAAUACGUGCGUUUGCAUUUGUAUUCAUAUCUGAUUAUUUUAAUUUGUGGUUGAAAAUGAACUCACAUUAUGCAUCUUUGACUAAGAUUAUAGCAUAAUGAGUUUGAUUGAUAACCAAAAGCUGUACAAGUUUUUUAGCUGUUAUCUAAAGUUCUUAGCUUUAUCAGAAUAGUACAAAGCUGUUAGAAAGAGCCGUAUAGAAAAGUUGUUAAAAAAUGCUGAAAGUAAAACUUUUUAUAACGCUUUUAAUAAAAAAUUUGUGAUUGGUAACUGUCAAAACUGUAUACACUGUUUAAAAGUGUUAAGUGGUUAUCAUUCAAAACCAAUAGUUAAAAAAAAUAUAUAUAUAUAGCAUAAUAGUUUGUACAAGACUACUAGUUACCACCGGCAUA